GGAAUAUUGGUCAAUGGACGCAAGUCUGAACCAGCCAUGCCGCGUGGAGGAUGAAGGUCCUCUGGAUUGUAAACUUCUUUUAUUUGGGAAGAAAUGAUUUUUCUAAAGUACUUGACGGUACCAGAUGAAUAAGCACCGGCUAACUCCGUGCCAGCAGCCGCGGUAAUACGGAGGGUGCAAGCGUUAUCCGGAUUCACUGGGUUUAAAGGGUGCGUAGGCGGGUAUGUAAGUCAGUGGUGAAAUCUCCGGGCUUAACUCGGAAACUGCCAUUGAUACUAUCUAUCUUGAAUACCGUGGAGGUAAGCGGAAUAUGUCAUGUAGCGGUGAAAUGCUUAGAUAUGACAUAGAACACCGAUUGCGAAGGCAGCUCACUACGCAAAUAUUGACGCUGAGGCACGAAAGCGUGGGGAUCAAACAG
rnacentral:rRNA from 1 species